GCGGCGUGGUUAGACAUGCAAGUCGCGGGGUGAAUAUCUCCUUCGGGAGGAACACGACCGGCGAAAGGGUGAGUAAUGCAUGGGUAACGUACCUUUGACACGGGGAUAGCCGUCCGAAAGGGCGAUUAAUACCCGAUAAAGCUCGGGUUCCGCAUGGAACCCGAUCCAAAGCUGGGGAUCUUCGGACCUGGUGGUCUUAGAGCGGCCCAUGUCCUAUCAGCUAGUUGGUGAGGUAAUGGCUCACCAAGGCAACGACGGGUAGCGGGACUGAGAGGUUGGCCCGCCACAUUGGGACUGAGACACUGCCCAGACUCCUACGGGAGGCUGCAGUAACGAAUCUUCCGCAAUGGGCGAAAGCCUGACGGAGCGACGCCGCGUGCAGGAGGAAGCCCCUCGGGGUGUAAACUGCUGUCAGGGAUAAGCAAGCGACCCCGGUGAAUAGCCGGGGAAGUUGGGCUACCCCACAGGAAGCCUCGGCUAACUUCGUGCCAGCAGCCGCGGUAAUACGAAGGAGGCUAGCGUUGUUCGGAAUCACUGGGCAUAAAGAGCGUGUAGGCGGCUUGGCAGGUGUCCUGUGAAAUCCCACGGCUCAACCGUGGAAUUGCAGGGCAAACCGCCAGGCUUGAGGCAAACAGGGGCUGAUGGAACUCUGGGUGGAGCGGUGAUAUGCGUAGAUAUCCAGGGGAACGCCGAAGGCGAAGGCAGUCAGCUGGGUUUGUCCUGACGCUGAGACGCGAAAGCCAGGGGAGCGAACGGGAUUAGAUACCCCGGUAGUCCUGGCCCUAAACGAUGUCUACUAGGUCUAUGGGUCUCUGACGGCCUGUGGGCCGAAGCUAAUGUGAUAAGUCGACCGCCUGGGGGGUACGGCCGCAAGGCUAAAACUCAAAGGAAUUGACGGGGGCUCACACAAGCGGUGGAGCAUGUGGCUUAGUUCGAUGCAACGCGAAGGACCUUAUCCUGGGUUUGACAUGCACGGAUUAGCGCUGUGAAAGCAGCGUGACGCGGUUUACCGUGGAACGUGCACAGGUGCUGCAUGGCUGUCGUCAGCUCGUGCUGUGAAGUGUUGGGUUAAGUCCCAUAACGAGCGAAACCCUUAUCGUUAGUUGCCAGCGGGUUAUGCCGGGGACUCUAGCGAGACUGCCGGUGUUAAACCGGAGGAAGGCGGGGAUGACGUCAAGUCCGCAUGGCCUUUAAGCCCAGGGCUGCACACGUGCUACAAUGGCGACUGACAAAGCGAAGCAAGACCGCGAGGUGGAGCAAAUCGCACAAACGUCGCCCCAGUUCGGAUUGCAGUCUGCAACUCGACUGCAUGAAGUUGGAAUCGCUAGUAAUCGCAGAUCAGAUAUGCUGCGGUGAAUAUGUUCCUGAGCCUUGUACACACCGCCCGUCAAGUCAUGGAAGCUGGGAGCACCCGAAGUC
rnacentral:rRNA from 1 species